CCUACGGGAGGCAGCAGUGGGGAAUAUUGGACAAUGGGGGGAACCCUGAUCCAGCCAUGCCGCGUGUGUGAAGAAGGCCCUCGGGUUGUAAAGCACUUUCAGUGAGGAAGAACGCCUGGUGGUUAAUACCCAUCAGGAAAGACAUCACUCACAGAAGAAGCACCGGCUAACUCCGUGCCAGCAGCCGCGGUAAUACGGAGGGUGCGAGCGUUAAUCGGAAUUACUGGGCGUAAAGCGCGCGUAGGUGGCUUGAUAAGCCGGUUGUGAAAGCCCCGGGCUCAACCUGGGAACGGCAUCCGGAACUGUCAAGCUAGAGUGCAGGAGAGGAAGGUAGAAUUCCCGGUGUAGCGGUGAAAUGCGUAGAGAUCUGGAGGAAUACCAGUGGCGAAGGCGGCCUUCUGGACUGACACUGACACUGAGGUGCGAAAGCGUGGGUAGCAAACAGGAUUAGAUACCCCAGUAGUC
rnacentral:rRNA from 1 species